CCUUCGGUAGCUUAGCUGGUACAGCAGAGGACUGUAAAUCCUUAGGUCGCUGGUUCAACUCCGGUUCGAAGGA